UAGGGAAUCUUCCACAAUGGACGCAAGUCUGAUGGAGCAACGCCGCGUGAGUGAAGAAGGUUUUCGGACCGUAAAGCUCUGUUGUUGGUGAAGAAGGAUAGAGGUAGUAACUGGCCUUUAUUUGACGGUAAUCAACCAGAAAGUCACGGCUAACUACGUGCCAGCAGCCGCGGUAAUACGUAGGUGGCAAGCGUUGUCCGGAUUUAUUGGGCGUAAAGCGAGCGCAGGCGGAAGAAUAAGUCUGAUGUGAAAGCCCUCGGCUUAACCGAGGAAUUGCAUCGGAAACUGUUUUCUUGAGUGCAGAAGAGGAGAGCAUGAACUC
rnacentral:rRNA from 1 species